UGGGGAAUUUUGGACAAUGGGCGCAAGCCUGAUCCAGCAAUGCCGCGUGCAGGAUGAAGGCCUUCGGGUUGUAAACUGCUUUUGUACGGAACGAAAAGGCUCUGGCUAAUACCUGGGGCACAUGACGGUACCGUAAGAAUAAGCACCGGCUAACUACGUGCCAGCAGCCGCGGUAAUACGUAGGGUGCGAGCGUUAAUCGGAAUUACUGGGCGUAAAGCGUGCGCAGGCGGUUUUGUAAGACAGAGGUGAAAUCCCCGGGCUCAACCUGGGAACUGCCUUUGUGACUGCAAGGCUGGAGUGCGGCAGAGGGGGAUGGAAUUCCGCGUGUAGCAGUGAAAUGCGUAGAUAUGCGGAGGAACACCGAUGGCGAAGGCAAUCCCCUGGGCCUGCACUGACGCUCAUGCACGAAAGCGUGGGGAGCAAACAGGAUUAGAUACCCUGGUAGUCCACGCCCUAAACGAUGUCAACUGGUUGUUGGGUCUUAAUUGACUCAGUAACGAAGCUAACGCGUGAAGUUGGACCGCCUGGGGAGUACGGCCGCAAGGUUGAAACUCAAAUGAAUUGACGGGGUCAUAGCUGUUUCCU
rnacentral:rRNA from 1 species